rnacentral:rRNA from 1 species
UACGGAGGGUGCAAACGUUGCUCGGAAUCAUUGGGCGUAAAGCGCACGUAGGCGGACUGUUAAGUCGGACGUGAAAUCCCUCAGCUUAACUGAGGAAGUGCAUUCGAAACUGGCAGUCUUGAGUAUGGAAGAGGGUCGCGGAAUUCCCGGUGUAGAGGUGAAAUUCGUAGAGAUCUGGAAGAACACCAAAGGCGAAGGCAGCAUCCUGGGAAGUUCCUGACGCUCGGGUGCGAAAGCCAGGGGAGCGAACGGG